rnacentral:rRNA from 1 species
GAUGAACGCUGGCGGCGUGCUUAACACAUGCAAGUCGAACGAAACACCUUAUUUGAUUUUCUUCGGAACUGAAGAUUUGGUGAUUGAGUGGCGGACGGGUGAGUAACGCGUGGGUAACCUGCCCUGUACAGGGGGAUAACAGUCAGAAAUGACUGCUAAUACCGCAUAAGACCACAGCACCGCAUGGUGCAGGGGUAAAAACUCCGGUGGUACAGGAUGGACCCGCGUCUGAUUAGCUGGUUGGUCAGGUAACGGCUCACCAAGGCGACGAUCAGUAGCCGGCUUGAGAGAGUGAACGGCCACAUUGGGACUGAGACACGGCCCAAACUCCUACGGGAGGCAGCAGUGGGGAAUAUUGCACAAUGGGGGAAACCCUGAUGCAGCGACGCCGCGUGAGUGAAGAAGUAUUUCGGUAUGUAAAGCUCUAUCAGCAGGGAAGAAAAUGACGGUACCUGACUAAGAAGCCCCGGCUAACUACGUG